GGUAAGGAUAUUCAGCUCCAUUGCACACCGCAUCCUGACUAGGUAAAAGGCCUUCGAGUCCCUGGCCGAGCAGCUGCAGAACUUCAAGACACACCACUUGUUCCGGCGCUGAUGUAUGGUACUGCUAUGGAACCAACAGCAAGGGCAACAUUCGAGAAAAAAAAUUGGUGCCAAGGUAACCCAGGUUGGCGUUGUGAUUCACCCCUGUCAGCCAUGGCUUUGUGCAAGUCCCGAUGGGCUUUUCCAAACAACCAGUGGUGUCAUUUUGCGUGAAAUCAAGUGCCCCUACAGUCGUAAAGAUGACAUAAUCAUAGAUCAUGCUCUGUGCGAAAGCUACGUUAGCUAUGUGACAUAUCAUGAUGGAAUGCUUCAGUUGCCUCGCAGCCACCCAUAUUAUACACAGGUCCAGGUUGCCAUGUAUGUCACUAACACUACAGAAUGUUUCUUUUUUGUUUAUAAAGCAAGCAAGAUAUUACUAUAGUUGUUUACAGAGAUGAAGACUCCCUUGCUCGAAACAUUCCUCGGUCGGAGGCGUUUUAUUAUUCACAUUACAUUAAGCAGCUCAUGCGUUAGACCAGAUUCCUGCUUGUAGGAAGUAAGUUUGCUCUUAAAGGUACAUACAGCCGCUCAGCACAUGAAUUCAGAUAACCCUGCUUAUGGAAUGAUUCCCUAUCAUAAUGACUAAAACAAGCCAUGUUUUUCUCAUUAAAUUUGGAAAUUUAGUUUUUAAUCCAUCGCCAAAAGUUGCUAAAAAUAACCUUUCGCGCACCACGUGGCACACACAUGAAGCUGCAUAAGAGCUCUGCCACGUGACCUUCUACUAGUGUACGCGGUUACUGGUCUUUUUAUUAGUACUGAAAUGCAGUAUACUUUCUAUUAUACGUUUUUCCUGACUUACAGUUUGCAGAUAAGCCUUAGUUUAUACUGUGCAGAAAAGUAGCGCUGCCUUCAUUUUCGAUGAGUUGGCCCACUUGUGGCAUAGUUGAUGUCAUAUUGUAUCUCAUAGGGGGACCACAGAACUUAGGUUACUUGCAUGCAAAUUCGCCUGUGUACAAAAGCAUCCAUGUGUACCAUUAUGCAUGCCUUUUUACCUUGUAAUACUCACAGAUUAAAGCACCUGUGAUUUUAAGGCAGGUAAAGCACAAAUAAAAGAACAGAAAGCAGAAAGAAUGAGAAAAUACAUUGUGAUUGCCAUACAUGCCUUACCAAAACAUGUUACUGUCUCAGUCUUCCACUGUACCGACUAGCUUGGAUACAGACCCUAGGCAUGUGUAAUAUAAAGGCUGAUUUGUAAAUUAUGCUGCACUUAUUAGCAGCUCAAUUACCUACAGUAUGUAAGUAUCAAGGUUUCACCUCCGGUGAGAGUGACAAAGUGUUUUUCGAUUUCUGUGCCAAUUUAAAAUUAUAAUUGCUACAUAACACAUGUACAGCAUCCUUGUUUCUAUCAAUAUAAAUCAUGGUCUUUUCCUUUGCACCAUUUCAUGACACAUUCUUUCCACUUGUUGGCCCUUUAAGGAAGUUGCUAGUGUUAAACACUGUCGAGCUACCUGAUGGCGAAAGCUGGUUUUAGUCUGAAUCUUCCUCUGAAAUUGCCUGGCCUCCAGGAACUUGCAAGUGAACAACAAUCCUUUAUUACCACCAAUUUCUUUGCUUAUUGUUGCUUUAUAACUGCAACAUGAAAGACUGCAUCGAAAAGAUUCCGAACGUGUGCCAUGGCUUAUACAUGUCCAUUCUGUCACUGAAGGAGUUGCAGUGAUUCUUUCAGUUGUAUCUGUAAGCUUGCAGACUGUAUUUCCUUAUUGAGAGCCUUUGCUGUUGCACAGUUAAGGCUAGUUCACAGUUGCAGUGUUUAAGCCCUUUUUGAUGCCUGUAGUGAAUGUAGCCUUGAGGCCCAUCCAUUCAAGAGAUCUAUAGCAGACCAGAGGUCUGAUCACCGUCGACCUUUAAUUUUAAUUGAUGUCUCCCAUUUUUUUUGUGUAUGGUGGUUAAGAGCCACACCAUAUGUCUUUAGAUAUAUUUGCAAAUUUGUUCAGCCUAGUGCUGUCCCCUUGCUUUACAAUUUCUUAUCCAAGUUUAUAAUUUUACAGUCACAGAUAAAGCUGCUAGCUUUCCUGGUGACCUGGGCACUACUAUGUUAGCUGGCUAAAACAUCACUGCUACGAGCAGGUUCUUCAGUGUCAUACUGCGCUUAAUGUUCUAAAAAUAAAGCACAGUAAUUUGUUUCUGUAUUGUGCUUGCCUGCAAAACAGCAGUACUGUGUUUCCAAGCUAGGCACAUAAGUCUACACAUGUUUACACGAAUGGAUUGGUCCGCUUUUUAUUGUUGUCAAAAAUGAUGAAAAACAUACAUGACCGGAAUAUUUUUCAAAAUCUCUGCGGGAAAGUUGGCCUUUAAAUAUUACAAUUUUGUAAAAGAUGGUAGCAGUGCUUAUGCCAAAAAUAUGUUUGUUACUCUGUGCUUGUGUAUCACAGUGAAAAUAAAGCACCUUACUUUCUGUUGC